ACCUGAGCCGAAGACAGACACUUAACUGAGCCACCCAGGCACCCCCAGGCUCUGCCCAUCCAUCAGUCACCCUCAAAAUGUCCCCUGUGGAUCUGUGAUUGGCUCAUUAAAAAGGAAACCCAAACAGCAUUUUUAAAAGCAAUAAAAGGGGACAGAAGAGGAGCAGCAGAGACUGGAGGAUGGCUGGCAGAGCAGACAAACCAAGCAGGAUAUGCCACUGCUCAUGACUGCCCAAGAUGAAGUUGAGGCCGACAAUCUGAAGAG